UCAGUAUGAAUGGUGGAGCCGCAGCGGAGCGGGGAGGCUGGUGCAGCAGUUAGGAAGGGUAGGGGGGGAAAGAUGGGACAGAAAGCGCGCACAUGAGUUCCUGGAGCUCAUGUUCAGGUGGGGUGGGAGGAGGACGGGAGGGAGAUUUUUUUUAAAAAAUUAUUCCGACCUGCAAAAGCUUGAAAGUGAAAGAAAAUGUGUCGGGGUCAUGUUGGUCCUCAGUGCGCGCCUCGUGAAUGCUUGGCUGAUUUAAAAAGAAAAAAAAAAAAAAAAAGCAAACAAAACGAAAAAGAAAAAAAAAGAGCAAAGACAUGCAAAAGUUGCGACUGGCCGCCAGUGACUCGGGUAAAUGAUCUCAUUCGUUUCACCGUGCACCGUAACAGCAAGAACUGGAAGGAGGACAAUGAAACGAGGAACUGCUGACUUGCGUUUCCAGUGUUCACUGGCGACUUUCUGAUGAAGAGGAGGAUGAAGGGAGACAAACUGGUAAGUGAAAGCAAGCUGAGCUUUACUUCAGCCAUUACUGACGUUUUCUGUUUGAAAAUCAGAGGAGGUGGGCAGACUCUAGGGAACCCCUCAUAUUUUAACUUUAAUGACUGCUUUGCACUCUCAGCUGUGGCUCCAGUGUUUUGUUGCCGUUUUCCUACUUCAGGUGGUCAAAUCAAAAAGGCUUCAAAGAAAGUUAUAACCUGAGCGACAGCAUAAGGCUUAAAGCAGGAAGAAAUAAAGAUCUGGACGGAAAAUAUAAAGCGUUUUCUCAUCUUUGAUGAUUUUAACUCUCGCUACUAGAGACUUAUUCUUUUCUCUUUAAUCUUAAAGCACUCUUUAAAUAGAUCACCCUGAUUGGUUUUCAUUCAACAGAUGUGGUGUAAAAUAAAAAGCACAAUUCAAUGUAUUGUAGCAAAGUACUGAAAAUAGCACAAGUGAGGUAAAAUUGGAUAAUCACAGCUGGGGACAGGAACCGUUUUUAGCGUGUUGGUGGCAGGGCUGGCUGUGGCGAACACUGGCUACUUUUCCCACUUGUCCUGUGACCGGCUGCUCUAAAUUUAGUCGCUCAAUCAUAUGGUGAUGCUCUGUCCGCACCUCGAAGGGCUAAAGUGAAAGCGUAUGUGUUAGAUGUCUUGGUGAUAUUGCAGCAGCUGUCCUCACAAUAAAAAGAACAUGAUCAAAGAAGUACAACUCGGGAGCGAUUUAUGUACAGAAAUGAAUCUUUUAGUGGUGUUGGUGAGAGUUUCACAGUCUGUAUCUAUGCGCAUCUUAUCCGCAAGCUGUACCGUAAAAAUAAAGAAACACAAGCUCCAGGUUUAGAGGGUGAACUAGUUGCCUGGAGUUGACUUUAGAUUCUUUACUCUCAUGUAGUUUUGUGAGAAUGUGUAAGGCACACAGUGAUGGAUCAAUAUGAAAAUCAUGGUCCAUUAGCUCCUGGAAGUUACACCAUCAAAUUUGAAUUUGCGUUAGCGAUUCUGUCUGAUGGGAAAAAAAUGAAUGCAUGAACGUAUGAAAAUAUGAACGUACGUCAAGGACAGUAUGUCUUUGUUUUUUCAAAAUCACCAUAUCUGACCAGACCCUCUCGCAGUCCUAUUGGAGCUUAUCUCGAGCGCCUAUUAGCUUUACUGUAUGUUUUAUGUAAUCAUCAAAAUCUCUUAACGAGCAUAACUGACAAAACUAAAAAUUGCUAAGACCUGUAAGGAUUUCUACUACUUGGUGUUCUUUUUUAUUUUAUUCUUGGUAAGCUAAAGUACUAUUGUGAAACUACAUGCCUUCUUAAGCUUGGCACAAUGCUGGUGUUAGCUACCUUAGUGCAGGCUGUACAGCACGUCUUGUUCCUGUUAGCUAGUUGAAGCAGUUAAAGGUAAUGCUAAUGCUAUCUCAAAUGUUCCCUCCAACAUUUGACUCUGGUAUACAAUUUAACUCUCUAAUCCAACAAGUGGCAAUAAUGCACUGACAUGUUAGCUUAGCAAUUUACGUACUUUGAGUUGGUAAAGUAGGUUCCAGCCGUUUGGGCGUCCCUGGCUGAUGUAUUUACCAACGCUUCAGUCUUUCCUCAAAAAUUAGAGCAAUGUUUGUUCGCCAUCUUUCUGUUCUAAAGUACAAGAGGGAGCUGGCUGAAUACAACUAAAACAAUAACAGUCAGAGUACUUUAAAUCUGAACUAUGGUAAAGAUGUUAACUUUUUUUUGUUUUUUUUCCAAACCAUGUUCAUGUUGAGUCCAGAAAAUUAAUCAGAAAAUUGCAAUGCUCUCAAAUUGCUGCCUCCUGCAACAUUAGCUUGCUUAGCUAAUGUCAGAAACUACUUGGCUAGCUACCUUAAAUGAUGUACUGAGGCUACAUGUUGUUGAUUCAGAGUUUAUGAUUAGACAUAUGCAGACACCUCAGUGUCACUCACUGUAUGUCAACAUUAUUGUGUACCAGCGUAAUAAUUAGAUUUUCAUGAAAUCCCGUCAGUCUCUACCUGCUUUUCCUUGCUGAGUCAUGAGAUGCUGGUGCCUGUCUCUUGUGGUCAUUGAGUGACAGGCUGGGUACUACCGGACAGGUCGCUAGUUUUAGAUAAGAUGAUAAUUAAAAAGUCACUGCAUCGAUACAGAGCGUUUGUUCACUAAUACUACUUUUGUAAUAGAAUUCUUUGUAUUUACUGGCAAUUGGUCAGUUUUGAAAGUAAAUUGCUGGCAACUCAGUGCCUUCUCAGGUGUUAUAUUGUAGAAAGCGUUUGGACAACAUGCAUUUAAUUUAAUAAUCAUUUUACAAAGAAAGUCCAAGAUGUUAACAUUAAUAUUAAUUUUAUGAUAUUUAUUCUGUUUUGUCUAGUUUUAAGCACAUCAUAAGUUCAGUUUUUUUAGUCGCAGCAUCUGUAGAACCACUUGUGCAAGUAAAUGAGAUUUAUUCUUUUCUCCUUCUUUUAAAUUGAUUCGAGAGCCUUUAACCACAAUGGUUUCAUUAGUACUCUGAGAGAUUUACAGUCUUUCUUCUGGAAAGAGCUGAAGCUGAAAAAAGGAAAACAGUUUGGUUUCUUUUGACAGAGAAACAAUUAUUUAACCUUUCAGUUUCUUAGAAAUGUUAUGUGUAUGGAACCUUUUUAAAAAAAAAAAAAAUCAGGAUGGAAAUCUUUUAAGUAACACAGCUGUAGUUACAAACAUAUAGGAGUUCAUUUAUUCAAGUUUUGACCUGGGUUAUAAAUAUCGAAACCUUGAUCACAGUGAAGUAACCAAAACCGCCAGCUAACACUUUACAGAACAAAUUGCUGAGCAAGCUAAAAAACUGCACAGAUGUCAAUAUGCCAGAAAAGUUUGCAAUAGACGAGCAGCAAAAUUUUGUACAGUGUAAGGGAGGGUUAAACAUGGGGGCAAUGGGUGCACCAUAGAUGCUGCAAGCAAACAGGCCUAAAUACCCCAAAUAUUCAAAAUUAGGGGUAUGUAACUUUGAUUUUUGUUAUUAUUUAAUAUUUCCUUUCUAGUUGUCAAUGCCUUUCUACAAAUGUAAUACGACAACAGCGCAUCAACGAAGUCUUGCCUUGAAGGCAUUUUAUGUCACAUUUGUCUCAAAUCAGCGUAUUUCAGCCUACAGAUUGGUCAGAAGAACACAAAGGAAAAAAAACCAUCUCUAAUCGCUUUCUCUUUACUCCUUCAGACACUCCCUUCGUAAUGGAUGACUGUCAUCCAUUUACAGAAAUUGAUAAUUUUCAGUUUCUGCAAAUUAUCUUUGAAAGACUAACACACACACGCACACACACAUUACAGCUACAAAACACACCCACACCCACCCAUGCCAGCCUUGUUCCACCAAGGCCCCCCUCCUCCCGCCAACCUUUACGGUAACUGCAUGUUUUUGUCAUCUGUGGGCCUGGAUGAAGUGAUGAUGCUAGUUUUGGUAUCAAGUCCAUGGCUGUGCCUCUCCACACCGAGAGAUACUGAGAGUAGUGCAGCGUGGCGAGGCGUGGGAGGGCUGUGACAGAGAUGACUCAGCUCUCUCUGUUGCCGGGCAGAGAAAUGCUCUCCCACCCCCAUGCAAUACAAGAAAAAAGAAAAAAAAGUUACUUGGUUCAUCUGUCACCCUUCACUGUGGAGACACCAAAGCUGAUUGUUUUACUACGAAAUCGUAAUCGAACAGGAUUGGAAGUUGAUGUUGUCAUGUCAACUUUAUUGUUGUUGCAUAUUGAUCGAUAAAUUAAAUGUUAUGUAGUGAUGACGUCAACUGUAGCCAUUGAUAAAACCUAAAUGUCCUAAGGUGUCUAAUUACUGACACAACAUCUAGGAAAACUCUUGGUUGGACUGUAAAACUUUAUAGUUUUUUUUUUUUUUACUUGAAGCAGGGACUCAUAUCCUAACAUAUGCUGGGUUCAGAAUAGCCCAGUUAUUUUCUUUCCUCUCACAGUCCUGCUGUAACCAUGGAGCAAUCCCAUCAUGGUGUAAUUUAACACUUUAACACUUUACUGUUUGAUCUAAUGCACAGGAUCAGUAUUUCGACAUGAAGCAAAUUGUGCCAAGACAGGCACCAAUCAGAUUUUUAAAAAAUGAUACUAAUUUCUGUUUUUUCUUUGAGGUCCAAUGAGAAAAUUAACGGAUGUUUGGACGAUUGAUUAGUUUUUGUCUACUGUUGUCUGCCCUACUAAUGGUUCAAAUCCCUACCAAAGAGUGAAAUAAAAACACAGUGAAAUAUUUUGGUCCUUAGUUUAACCCUGCAUAAAACAUAUUUGGAAGAAACAAAGACAACCUAUUAAUAUAUAAUAAAACCUCUAAGAACCAAAAUAUGAGUACAGUAAACAAAACUUGAACUUGAUACAUGAACUUAACACUGCAUGUAAUUAAUCAGGUUUUUGUUCUCCUCAUAACAUUUCUUGAUUAAAAUGUCAAAAGUUAAUAAUAACAAUGUUAAAUAAAAUAUAAUUGCAAGUAGAUUCACACAGUGCUUCUUCGCUAUAGUGAUUUUGCAUCCAAGUGUGAGUUUUAAACUUAUGACACUAACUUGCUCUGGUUGAUAUUCAGGUAAAAGCCUAAUGCUAUCUUUAGUAAUUUAUUCCCUACUGACAUUAACAUUGUUGGGAACAUCACCUUGUAAUUUCCUAUUUUAUCCAGUGGAAGAUGUUCAGUAUAAUCAGGUUGUUGUAGUUCAGUUUGUCUGUAAACUGUAAACUAACGGUGCUUGAUUAACGUUAAUCAUCUCCUCGUCCAACAGCUUGUGGGCUGUAUUUGUGUUACAGUGGUAUCCCAAAGCUGUUUCUUGUUGUUGAAGUUUUUACCGUGACCACAUUAAACUGCAAAAAAACAAACAAAAAAAAAAAAAA